UUGGGCUUGACCUUUUCCAACCGAUCCAUCCGGGACGGCUCCGUCCUCCGCGCUGCCCCGGGGCGGGAGGUCCCCGUCCAUGAACCCACCGUGGGGCUUGAAAUCAAGGAGACUUGAAAAAAUAAAAGUAACUCGUUUUUCCUGAUCUUUUGGUUUGGGUUUUUUUUGUUUUGUUUUUUUUUGUUUUUUAUUUUUUUUAAAUAACCAUUGGGUUUAGUUUAGUCGAUUUAGGUGUUUUGUUUUGUUUUUUUCUCUACGAUUAAAAAGUUAAAAAAUAAGUUCCCAGCUUUAAAAACUUCCUCUCUACAUGAUUUUUGUCGUCGUUAAAUAACCUAAAAAUCGCAUCGUUAAUU